GAUGAACGCUGGCGGCGUGCCUAAUACAUGCAAGUCGAGCGAACGGACGAGAAUCUUGCUUUUCUGAUGUUAGCGGCGGACGGGUGAGUAACACGUGGAUAACCUACCUAUAAGACUGGGAUAACUUCGGGAAACCGGAGCUAAUACCGGAUAAUAUUUUGAACCGCAUGGUUCAAAAGUGAAAGACGGUCUUGCUGUCACUUAUAGAUGGACCCGCGCUGCAUUAGCUAGUUGGUAAGGUAACGGCUUACCAAGGCAACGAUGCAUAGCCGACAUGAGAGGGUGAUCGGCCACACUGGAACUGAGACACGGUCCAGACUCCUACGGGAGGCAGCAGUAGGGAAUCUUCCGCAAUGGGCGAAAGCCUGACGGAGCAACGCCGCGUGAGUGAUGAAGGUCUUCGGAUCGUAAAACUCUGUUAUUAGGGAAGAACAUAUGUGUAAGUAACUGUGCACAUCUUGACGGUACCUAAUCAGAAAGCCACGGCUAACUACGUG
rnacentral:rRNA from 1 species